rnacentral:pre_miRNA from 1 species
UUUAAGGGUUUUGACUUUUUUGCUUGCAACGUUUGACCAUUCGUCUUAUUCAAAAAAAUUAUCGAAGUAUCACAUAUUUUGUUUGCGAUUUAAUUUAUUAUCAAAAGUACUUUAAGUAGAACUUAUCAAUUUUUUAUUUUGCACAAAAUUUUUGAAUAAGACGUAUGGUCAAACGUUGCAUGAAAAAAGUCAAAACCCUUACA